rnacentral:rRNA from 1 species
UACGAAGGGGGCUAGCGUUGCUCGGAAUGACUGGGCGUAAAGGGCGCGUAGGCGGCGAUCAAGGUCAGAUGUGAAAUUCCUGGGCUUAACCUGGGGGCUGCAUUUGAUACGUGGUGGCUUGAGUGCGGAAGAGGGUCGUGGAAUUCCCAGUGUAGAGGUGAAAUGCGUAGAUAUCUGGAGGAACACCGGUGGCGAAGGCGGCAUCCUGGACCGACACUGACGCUGAGGAGCGAAAGCCAGGGGAGCAAACGGG